UUUCGUUUUCGCUUGACUUUGUGCCGCCCGCACUUUUGCGUUUGAGCAGUUUCGUCAUCGCAUAGUGCUGCGCUGAUUUUGCUGGCUCGUGAAACUUGCACAAACUACAAGUAGCAGAGAAUGCCACAACCAUGUUCUGCAUUUGAAUGUG
rnacentral:lncRNA from 1 species